rnacentral:rRNA from 1 species
GCUAACGAGCGCAACCCUCGCUGUGUGUUACUAAGUGUCACACAGUACUGGCCGAUAUUAAGUCGGAGGAAGGUGGGGAGUGACGUCAAGUCAGCAUGACCUUUAUAUCCAGGGCUACACACACGCUACAAUGGCCAGUACAAUGGGUUGCCAAGCGCGAGGCGGAGCCAAUCCUAAAAAGCUGGCCUCAGUUCAGAUUGCAGUCUGCAACUCGACUGCAUGAAGUUGGAGUUGCUAGUAACCGCAGGUCAGCAAUACUGCGGUGAAUACGUUCCCGGGGAUU